rnacentral:rRNA from 1 species
GUCUCAAAGAUUAAGCCAUGCAUGUCUAAGUACAUACCCAAUUCAGGUGAAACCGCGAAUGGCUCAUUAAAUCACACCUAAUCUACUGGAAUGUUAGCAGUUACUUGGAUAACUGCGGUAAUUCUUGAGCUAAUACAUGCGAAAAAUCUCGACUCAUGGAGAGAUGCUUUUAUUAGAUCAAACCAAACAGCUUCGGCUGUACUUACUGGUGACUCUGAAUAACUUUGGGCUGAUGGCAUUGCCUUGUGCAGGCCACGUUUCCUUUGAAGGUGUGCCCUAUCAACUGUCGACUGUGAUAUAGACGCUCACAGUGGUUUUGACGGGUAACGAGGAAUCUGGGUUCGAUUUCGGAGAGGGAGCCUUAAAAACGGCUACCACAUCCAAGGAAGGCAGCAGGCACGCAAAUUACCCAAUGAUCGAAGAUAGAGGUAGUGACGAAAAAUAACAAUACAAGACGCUUCCGAGGCCUUGUAAUUGGAAGGAGUACACUUUAAAACCGUUUCAACGAGGAUCCAUUGGAGGGCAAGUCUGGUG